rnacentral:rRNA from 1 species
CCUACGGGAGGCAGCAGUGAGGAAUAUUGGUCAAUGGGCGAGAUCCUGAACCAGCCAAGCCGCGUGAGGGAAGAAGGUACAAAGGAUCGUAAACCUCUUUUGUCGGAGAACAAAAGCGGGGACGUGUCCCCGGCUGCGUGUACCUGAAGAAAAAGCAUCGGCUAACUCCGUGCCAGCAGCCGCGGUAAUACGGAGGAUGCGAGCGUUAUCCGGAUUUAUUGGGUUUAAAGGGUGCG